rnacentral:rRNA from 1 species
AAUGAACGCUGGCGGCGCGCCUAAUACAUGCAAGUCGAGCGAGAAGACGUAGCAAUACGUUUGUAAAGCGGCGAACGGGUGAGGAAUACAUGGGUAACCUACCCUCGAGUGGGGAAUAACUAGCCGAAAGGUUAGCUAAUACCGCGUACGCUCCUUGGACUUCGGUUCAGGGAGGAAAGCGAUACCGUGGGUAUCGCGCUCUUGGUUGGGCUCAUGUCCUAUCAGCUUGUUGGGAGGUAACGGCUCACCAAGGCUUCGACGGGUAGCUGGUCUGAGAGGACGAUCAGCCACACUGGCACUGCGACACGGGCCAGACUCCUACGGGAGGCAGCAGUAAGGAAUAUUGCGCAAUGGGGACGAAAGCCUGACGCAGCGACGCCGCGUGGGGGAUGAAAGUCUUCGGAUUGUAAACCCCUUUCGGGAGGGAAGAUGGAACGAGCAAUCGUUCGGACGGUACCUCCAGAAGCAGCCACGGCUAACUUCG